rnacentral:sRNA from 1 species
AUCGGUUUGGAACACAGACCUUAUGUAAGCAGUUUUAGUAAAGCAGUCCUCAGUUUAAGUGUUAUCCCUAGAUACCCUUCCUCAUGAGCCUCCUCCUAAGUGCGCCCAUAAGUAAUUAUCUGAAACUCAGGCCAAGUUCGCCGCGUUGAGUGGCUCAAAAAAUUAAAGGAAAUAUCUAUGUCUAACAAAAUGACUGGUUUAGUAAAAUGGUUCAACUCUGACAAAGGCUUCGGCUUCAUUUCUCCAGAAGACGGCAGCAAAGAUGUAUUCGUACAUUUCUCUGCAAUCCAGAGCAACGAUUUCAAAACUUUAGAUGAAGGCCAGAAAGUAGAGUUCACUAUCGAGAACGGUGCUAAAGGUCCAUCAGCUGGCAACGUAGUUGCUCUGUAAUUGCUGAUACUUCGCUAACACUUGCGACAGCGAUGACGGCAUUA